rnacentral:lncRNA from 1 species
ACAUACUACAGAGAGUUACCCAGACACUAUUAUGACUGGCAGAAAAAGACAUACAGAUUUCUACUAUCCCAUAAAAUUGGAACUUCAUCCUAUUUAAUGCUCUGUUGGUGGUGCCAUUUUGCCACAGGAGACUCUGGUUUGACGCACCCCAGGCAAGGCCUCUGCAUGCAACACCCAAGAACAAAUGAGACUAGAUGAAGAACAAAGGAAAAGGAAGAAGGUUAGACUUUAUUUCAUUACCCAGAUUCUGUUU